rnacentral:rRNA from 1 species
UACGAAGGGGGCUAGCGUUGUUCGGAUUAACUGGGCGUAAAGGGUGCGUAGGCGGGUCUUUAAGUCAGGGGUGAAAUCCUGGAGCUCAACUCCAGAACUGCCUUUGAUACUGAAGAUCUUGAGUUCGGGAGAGGUGAGUGGAACUGCGAGUGUAGAGGUGAAAUUCGUAGAUAUUCGCAAGAACACCAGUGGCGAAGGCGGCUCACUGGCCCGAUACUGACGCUGAGGCACGAAAGCGUGGGGAGCAAACAGG